rnacentral:rRNA from 1 species
AUUGAACGCUGGCGGCAGGCCUAACACAUGCAAGUCGAACGAGUGGCACACGGGUGUGUAAUGUGUGGGAAAGUGCCUGAUGGAGGGGGAUAACCUCUGGAAACGGGAGCUAAUACCGCAUAGCAUCGGAUGCGCCCAGAUGGGAUGAGCUAGUGGGUGGGGUAAAGGCUCACCUAGGCGACGAUCCCUAUCUGGUCUGAGAGGAUGAGCGGCCACACUGGAACUGAGACACGGUCCAGACUCCGACGGGAGGCAGCAGUGGGGAAUAUUGCACAAUGGGCGCAAGCCUGAUGCAGCCAUGCCGCGUGUAUGAAGAAGGCCUUCGGGUUGUAAAGUACUUUCAGCGGGGAGGCGUUACCCGCAGAAGAAGCACCGGCUAACUCCGUGCCAGCAGCCGCGGUAAUUC